rnacentral:tRNA from 1 species
GCGGGUGUGGCGGAACUGGCAGACGCGCCAGACUUAGGAUCUGGUGGGUGAGACCCUUGGGGGUUCGAGUCCCCCCACCCGCA